rnacentral:tRNA from 1 species
UAGCUCAGUGGUAGAGUGCUUGCCUAGCAUGCAUGAAGUUUGGGGUUCCAUCCCCA